UACGUAGGGUGCAAGCGUUAAUCGGAAUUACUGGGCGUAAAGCGUGCGCAGGCGGCCUCUUAAGUCAGAUGUGAAAUCCCCGGGCUUAACCUGGGAACUGCGUUUGAAACUGGGAGGCUUGAGUGUGGAAGAGGGGGGUGGAAUUCCAGGUGUAGCAGUGAAAUGCGUAGAGAUCUGGAGGAACACCGAUGGCGAAGGCAGCCCCCUGGGCUGACACUGACGCUCAUGCACGAAAGCGUGGGGAGCAAACAGG
rnacentral:rRNA from 1 species